ACAAUACCAAGUACAUGUUUGUGACCAAGAGUGAACUCAGAUUUCAUCCUCGGUAAGUGAAAAAUGUUAAGUUUCAAAGUCAAAAAUUUAUUAUCUUUGUACUAACAUUCAAUUAGUGAACGAAAUGACAAUGACACAAAAGCCACAUUGGCAAUGUUAGGGUAACAAUUAAGUAGAAGCAAUAUUAAAAAAUGUAUUUGGAAGGAGCAAAUGCAAUCUUUCUUGUUUGUAUUUUACUGAUAUCGUUAGGUAAAUAUAGGUUGGUCCUUGAUAAAAUAACUAUUACAUAUAUUCUCUAUUUCAGUCGGUGUCCAAAAUGGUGAACUAUAAAUGGCAGAACUUUGGUAAGUCCAUUGACAAGGACUUGCCAAAGAUGACAGCUAGUCUCAACCAGAAGCUGGCUGUCACGACCAUCAGAGAAGCUGGGGCCGGAAGGUAGACCCAAACUGCCAUGGACAACAUAUGGCCCACAAGUCGGAAACCGCCGACAGGUUCUAUGACAAGAGCCACAGAACAACAGCUAGACAUUCGGCAUUGGAUAGUGCACACGGACAGUAGUGUA
rnacentral:lncRNA from 1 species